rnacentral:rRNA from 1 species
CUGACCGUGCAAAGGUAGCGUAAUCACUUGCCUUAUAAUUGAAGGCUAGAAUGAAUGGUUUGACAAGAAUAUAACUGUCUCUAUGUAAUUUUAUAAAAUUUGAUUUUUAGGUGAAGAAGCCUAAAUUUAAUUGAAAGACGAGAAGACCCUAUCGAGCUUUAAGGAAAUUAGUAAAAGAAAUGGUUAGACAAUUUGAAAUUAACUUUACUAAAGAUUUUGGUUGGGGCGACAGAGGAAUCAGGGAAGCUUCCUUUAAUUAAGAGCUAUUAACAAAUAAUGACCCGAAAUUAUCGAUUAAAGGAUAUAGUUACCGUAGGGAUAACAGCAUAAUUCUUUUUAAGAGAUCAUAUCGAAAAAGGAGUUUGUGACCUCGAUGUUGGACCAAAAUAUCCUAAAGAUGCAGUAGUCUUAAAGGUUGGUC